CGCCAAACCACGCCCGAUUACAGCAAGACUAUCGGCAACAGAUGGUCACUACUCUCGGAUCAUCGCAAAGGAGCGGAGCUGCGGAGGGCACUCACGAAGCAGUCGUCAUCGAUGGUGUAGAUGUACUUCUUCUUGGAGACCAUGUAGCCGAAGCAGCGGCAGGCGGAGUCCUUGAAGGAGAUGCAGUACGCCUUGGGCCCCAGGAUGCGGUUGAUGUCGUUGCGGUUGUAGAGCUCGUAGUCGAAGCCUUCGGGGACACGGAUGGUCUUGCUGGGGUCGCCGUCCUGCACGAUGAUGAGGUGGUAGGGAUGGAAGAAGGACCGCCACAUCUCCAGGAAGUCGAGGUUGCGGAUCGUCGGGAUGACG
rnacentral:misc_RNA from 1 species